GACGAACGCUGCGGCGUGCUUAACACAUGCAAGUCGAGCGGUAAGGCCCUUUCGGGGGUACACGAGCGGCGAACGGGUGAGUAACACGUGGGUGACCUGCCCUUAGCUCUGGGAUAAGCCUGGGAAACUGGGUCUAAUACCGGAUAUGACUCCAUGACGCAUGUUGUGGGGUGGAAAGCCUUGUGCGGCUAGGGAUGGGCCCGCGGCCUAUCAGCUUGUUGGUGGGGUGAUGGCCUACCAAGGCGACGACGGGUAGCCGGCCUGAGAGGGCGACCGGCCACACUGGGACUGAGACACGGCCCAGACUCCUACGGGAGGGCAGCAGUGGGGAAUCUUGCGCAAUGGGCGAAAGCCUGACGCAGCGACGCCGCGUGAGGGAUGACGGCCUCGGUUGUAA
rnacentral:rRNA from 1 species